UACGUAGGGUGCGAGCGUUGUCCGGAAUUAUUGGGCGUAAAGGGCUCGUAGGCGGUCUGUUGCGUCGGGAGUGAAAACUCAGGGCUUAACCCUGAGCCUGCUUCCGAUACGGGCAGACUAGAGGUAUGCAGGGGAGAACGGAAUUCCUGGUGUAGCGGUGAAAUGCGCAGAUAUCAGGAGGAACACCGGUGGCGAAGGCGGUGCUCUGGGCCGAAACUGACGCUGAGGAGCGAAAGCGUGGGUAGCAAACAGG
rnacentral:rRNA from 1 species